GACGAACGCUGGCGGCGUGCUUAACACAUGCAAGUCGUACGGUAAGGCCCUUUCGGGGGUACACGAGUGGCGAACGGGUGAGUAACACGUGAGUAACCUGCCCACAACUUUGGGAUAACGCUAGGAAACUGGUGCUAAUACUGGAUAUGUGCUCCUGCUGCAUGGUGGGGGUUGGAAAGCUCCGGCGGUUGUGGAUGGACUCGCGGCCUAUCAGCUUGUUGGUGGGGGAGUGGCCUACCAAGGCGGCGACGGGGCGCCGGCCUGAGAGGGUGACCGGACACAUUGGAGCUGCGAAAGGGACCAGGCUGCUACGGGAGGCAGAAGUGGGGAAUAAGGCAGAAUGGGCGCAAGCGUGUUGCAGCUGCGCCGCGUGCGGGAUGACGGCCUUCGGGUUAUAGACCGAUUUCAGCAGCGACUGAGCUUUUUUUGACGGUACCUGGAGAAGAAGCGCCGGCUAACUACGUG
rnacentral:rRNA from 1 species